rnacentral:rRNA from 1 species
CCUACGGGUGGCAGCAGUGGGGAAUAUUGGGCAAUGGGCGCAAGCCUGACCCAGCAACGCCGCUUGAAUGCCGCCUUCUUUCUUUUUUUCCCCUUCUUUUGUCAGGGAAGAGUAGAAGACGGUACCUGACGAAUAAGCCACGGCUAACUACGUGCCAGCAGCCGCGGUAAUACGUAGGUGGCAAGCGUUGUCCGGAUUUACUGGGUGUAAAGGGCGUGUAGCCGGGUUGACAAGUCAGAUGUGAAAUCCUGCGGCUUAACCGCAGAACUGCAUUUGAAACUGUUGAUCUUGAGUACUGGAGAGGCAGACGGAAUUCCUAGUGUAGCGGUGAAAUGCGUAGAUAUUAGGAGGAACACCAGUGGCGAAGGCGGUCUGCUGGACAGCAACUGACGGUGAGGCGCGAAAGCGUGGGGAGCAAACAGGAUUAGAUACCCGAGUAGUC